AAUGGUUGUCCGUAGUAUGGUC
rnacentral:miRNA from 12 species